GUGCUCACUUUGGCGGCACGUAUCCUAAAAUUAGAACAAUACAAAGAUUAGCAUGGCCCCUGCUCAAGGAUGAGACAAAUUUGCAAAUUCGUGAAGCGUUCCAUUUUGUU
rfam:Canis lupus familiaris chromosome X, whole genome shotgun sequence.